UGUAGGAAGAAGAACUCUGUUAGAAGAACUCUUUCGAAACAGCAGCAGCAGCAACUGACCACCUGGUCUAGAACGCCAAAAAAUGAAACGACCGGCAGCAUCAGAAGGAUCAUGUAACUCUCAACGCAUUUCUACUUGAGUGGGCGUCUGCCUGGCAUUUCAUAAAAGAAGAGGACCAGACUUAAAUUCUGACGUAAGUACAAGUCCAGAGACAAAUCCUGACAACGGAAUGGUCAGCAAAUUCCUCAGAUGCUGAACCAGAAUCCUGUAAGACAGAACAGGUGGCGACAGAGUGAGUGCCUCCAUCCAUGAAAGGCCAAUGCAGCAACAUGCAUUCAUCAACAAAAUGGAGAACGUUCUUUAAAACUAGAAGAGAAACCUCUUCCUACAACUAGCUGCUCUUGGACCAAGUAUAGUAGUCUGGUCUUCUUAAGAUCUUACACAGCAGAAAUACUGUUUGUGGCUGCUCUGGUUGGUUAACCUCCUUUAAAGCUUCAUUGUACGGAGAUGAGAGGGAAAAUAACGUUGUACGUGGCGCAAAUGGCCCUGACCUGGACAGCCUCGGCUAGCCUGAUCUUGUCAGAUCUUGGAAGCUAAGUGGAGUUGGCCAUAAUUAGCACUUAAACGGGAGACCACCAAGUCCAGGGUCACAGCAGAGAGGAAAGCAAACAACUGCUGAAUGUUUCUUGCCUUGGAAGCCCUGUGGGGUUGCCGAGUGUCUCCUGUGAGUACAAAUGAGUUCCAGUAUCAUCACGUAGUAGGUAAAAGUACAGAAUGAAAAUUGGUGCGAUGUGGGACACUGAAUGGAAACUACUAAGAAGAAAUCUCGGAGCUCAAGGGAUUUAUAUUUCACAAGACUUCUUGGCACUUAAGAACCACCUCCACCAUCCAGUCAGCAUCACUAUCAGAAACUGCAGUUGGAGGCUGGCAAGGUUAAUUUCAGCGACCUCGUGAGGAACACGUAAUUCAUAUCAGAUUCAUAUCACAGCCAUGUUUCUCCUGGAAUGACCACAAGUACUGCAACAGUCACUCCACACUCUCAGUCUCAACACUGCCCCAAGACUGAUAAGGAUUGUUGCCACAGCAGUAGCCACCAGUCCCAGGAAGACUUCUCUGAAUAAUCUGGCUACAUAAACUCCAGUUUAACUGUACUGGAGGUACAGGUUUACAGGGCAAAGGUGGCAUUCCUCCCUCCCUCCCUCCCUCCCUCUCUCUCUCUCUCUCUCUCUCUCUCUCUCUCUCUCACACACACACACACACACACACACACACACACACACACACUGCAAAAAACAAUCUUCGCCUUACAACAGUUAUCAAAAUUAU